rnacentral:misc_RNA from 1 species
CUGGAACGCGCCCCAGGCGCACCCAGAAACCCUUUGUGAACUUAUACCUUUUGUUGCCUCGGCGCUGCUGGUCUUCACAGGCCCUUUGCUUCACAGCAAAGAGACGGCACGCCGGCGGCCAAAUCAACUCUGUUUUUACACUGAAACUCUGAGAAAAACACAAAUGAAUCA